GAGGGUGUAGUCCAGUGGAAGGGCACUUGCCUAGCAUUCAUGAGGUCCUAGGUUUCAUUCCCAGCACUUGCA
rnacentral:tRNA from 1 species